rnacentral:rRNA from 1 species
UACGGAGGGUGCGAGCGUUAAUCGGAAUUACUGGGCGUAAAGCGUGCGCAGGCGGUUUUGUAAGCCAGAUGUGAAAUCCCCGGGCUUAACCUGGGAAUGGCAUUUGGGACUGCAAGGCUGGAGUGUGGCAGAGGAGACUGGAAUUCCUGGUGUAGCAGUGAAAUGCGCAGAUAUCAGGAGGAACACCGGUGGCGAAGGCGGUUCUCUGGCAUGUCCUGACGCUGAGGAGCGAAGCGUGGGUAGCAAACAGG